AAAUUGAAGAGUUUGAUCAUGGCUCAGAUUGAACGCUGGCGGCAGGCCUAACACAUGCAAGUCGAGCGGAAACGAGUUAUCAGAACCUUCGGGGGACGAUAACGGCGUCGAGCGGCGGACGGGUGAGUAAUGCCUAGGAAAUUGCCCUGAUGUGGGGGAUAACCAUUGGAAACGAUGGCUAAUACCGCAUGAUGCCUACGGGCCAAAGAGGGGGACCUUCGGGCCUCUCGCGUCAGGA
rnacentral:rRNA from 1 species